rnacentral:misc_RNA from 1 species
CAAGCUCGGCCUCCGCGAGGACGUCGUCGACCACCAGCGCCAUGACGGGAGCCGCCGGGGACGCGGAGGCCAGGAGCCCCGACGCCGCCACGCCGCUGACGCCCCCCGACGGCGGCGUGCGCGCCUGGAUGGUGCUGGCUGCCUCCUUCCUGUGCAACGGGCUGCUGUUCGGCAUCAUCAACACGUACGGCGUCAUCUACGUGUACCUGCUCAAGGACCUCGAGGACGCCAAGGUCUCGGACGCCGCGUCCAAAGCUUCCUUGGUGGGGUCGCUGUGCAUCGGCACCACGUUCCUGGUGUCCCCCAUCGCCGGCGUGCUGACGGACCGCUGGGGCAUCCGGCUGACCACGGCCAUCGGCGGCGUCCUGGCCACCGCCGGCAUGCUGCUGUCGUCCUUCGUCACGGACAACGUGUACGCGCUGUACGCGACCUACGGCGUGCUGUUCGGCGUGGGGGCCUCGCUGACGUACACGCCGUCGCUGGUGGUGCUGGGCCACUACUUCAAGCGCUUCCUCGGCGUGGCCAACGGGCUGGUGGCGGCCGGCUCGUCCGUCUUCUCCGUGCUGCUGCCCUACCCGCUGGAGUGGCUGCUGCAGCGCUUCGGGUUCUCCGGCAGCCUGCUGCUGCUGGCCGCCAUGAUGUCGCUCAUCAUCGGCUGCGCGAUGCUGUUCAAGCCGCUGAUGCCGCCGCCGAGGUCCACGUCGUCGCAGACCGACCUGCUGAACCUCAACAUCUGGAAGCGCCGGAAGUACGUCAUCUGGGCGCUGGCCAUCCCCACGGCCCUGUUCGGCUACUUCGUGCCGUACGUCCACAUGGUCAAGUACGUGUCGACGCGCUUCGAGGGCGAGGACGGCAAGAUCCUGAUCCUCUUCAUCGGGCUGGCGUCGGGCGUGGGCCGCCUGGUGUUCGGCCGCAUCGCGGACAUCCCGCGCGUCGACCGCAUUCUGCUGCAGCAGAUCUCCUUCUUCUGCAUCGGCGUGGCCACCAUGCUGCUGACGGUGACGGACAGCUUCACCGUGAUGAAGGUGCUGGCGCUGGUGAUGGGGCUGUUCGACGGCUGCUUCAUCUCGCUGCUGGGCCCCAUCGCCUUCCAGCUGUGCGGCCAGCGGGGCGCCACGCAGGCCAUCGGCUGCCUGCUGGGGCUGUGUUCGGUGCCCCUCACCGUGGGGCCCUUCAUCGCGGGGCUACUGUUCGACCACCUCGGCUCGUACCGCCUGCCGUUCCUGUUGGCCGGCGUGCCGCCCGUCGUCUGCUCCGUCAUCAUGUUCGCGGUGCGCUGCGUGCCCGACGACCCCGUCAAGGAGGACGCCGCCGAGGACGACCUGAUGGUGAAGAGCGCGCCGCUGGAGCCGCUGGCCGACAAGUUCGGCAACGGCGCGGCCUUCAAGUCCAACGGCAAUGCGCACGGCGGCCACCAAGGCGGCCACGCCAACGGCGGCCCCGCCACCCCCGCCCCAGGUACGUGGGUGCGCAUGCAGAGCCUGCUCGUCAUGGAGGAGCGGCUGUGCGUGCGCGUGGCACUGCUCGCCACGCCGCGGUCCCCCGGCCGCAUGCAGUCCUACUCGCUGCUCGCCUAGAAGGCCUAGAACUGCAAGUUCGAGAUCUCGCGUUGCACUCUGAAAGAUGUACCGCCUCGCAACAACCCGCUUCGCGUGCCCAUGUGAUAUAUAAAUUCUAGUGCCAUAUUUUUGUUCUCUACUUACGAUAGCCAAAUAUUCAUGUUUAUAUCGCCACGGUGUAAGUGAAACGUUAGGUUUAUUUUCUUUAAUUGUGGCUUGUGAUACUACAUUUUUGUGAUGACAAAUGUGAUCGAAUAUGUAUUUUUUGUAAAUAUUUUGUACAGCGCUGUAGUUGUAGAUGCAGCUAGUAACACUGCCCUUGCAUUCCCCACUGCUUCAUUUUCGCAUUUUAUCGCUCUUCAUCUCAUUACAUAUCUUCCCUCACUAGUCUUAACUUUUUAUUUUUAAUUAAAAAAAUAAAAGUGCUUACUUGUCGCAUGUAUGUCUCUUUUAUUUCUUCCUUUAUUCUCUUCUGUUUAUUUUUCUACCUACCUAAACCACUUACUUCUCGCUUUUACUUUCCUUCUCGCACUAUACGCCUAUUAAACAGUAACUAUGCCAAUCAGCUGACCGAAGAACCGCUAUCUCGAUUCCCCGCAUUCUUCCUUAUUUAUUGACUGCACCGAUUCAAUCUGCAUGCAGUGUGGUAACGGUCAAACCUUUUUGUAGAUCCAGCCGGCCAAUGACAUGGGCUUCCUGUUGCAACGGCGGGAGGGAGUCCAGAGCGGUUGAACCUAGUGUGCGCGAGUGUGUGUGUUUGUGUGUAUGAGGGUGUGCGUGUGUGUGAGUAAGGUGAGUCUGUGUGAGUGUGAAUGCGGAGGGAGGGGGUUGAGCGACUCAAACAACUAUCUAGCACGGAAGCCAAGGCACCGCCUGCUUGACAUCUUGGCAUCGCAGCGCUCGGCAGUGCUACUCAGGGGACUUUGUUUCACUGGUAUUAUCAGCACCAAUGUGCCGAAUAAAAGCAAAAUGCCCCCCGAGCCGAGAGGCAGCCGUCGGGGUGGGUGGGACGACAUCGAAACUGGAUGGCGCUUGCGAGGGACGCUGUGCGCGCUGUGCUCUCUGCGCUCGGCAAAGGACGUCCUGCUUUUGUACAGCCAGUCGCAGAGGGGCACCUUGACCCGGAAUCGAACGAGGGCGAACAUAAUCGCGCAAUGGUGGUAUCAGUGUCCGCGACGUCGCAUGUCCAUUGUUAGAGAGAGAGCAAACCGCAGACACGCGGCUUUUGUCUCAUUUCUUGUGUUUUGUGUGACGACAGCCCCGUCACGGACAAGCUGCUGUCCGAUCACAGCAGCUGAUACGAAGAUGCGCCGAAGGUACAGUCGGGUUGAAAAUGCACGGAACCACCCCAGUGUGCGCCUCGGCUGCAAUGACAUUCCUUCGCAUUUGUUUUGGCCACCGCGUCCGUCAUCUCCAGCCAAUGGCAGUGUCGCGACAGUCAACUCGCGAACUGGCCGAGAUGGCGCCGCCGGCAGCGCUAGCCAUCCUAUCGGUCGCGCAUCUAAACCGCACGGCAGUCGCCUGCGGGCUUAAACCGCUUAAAUACUCUAGGGCAAAAAUUGUACUUUUAGAAUCUCGACUGAAUUUGCUUCAGAUCAAAAGCUUACUUUUACAGGGUAACGUUGAUUUUUUGUGGUCCGUGAAAGGCCCGCUAUUUUCAUAGUGUCAUUUAUGUUACAUUGCCAUGAAUGUGUCUUAUUAUUUUAUCAUAAAAUGUAUUUUUAAUUUUUUGUACUUAAACUAGCGCGCUUUAAGCGGCGCGUUUUAGAAUACGCAGGAAUUACAGAGCCCUCCAACUAGUAGUAGUUUAAAGAUAGAUGUAGAUUGUCAAUUCGUGUUAUAAUGUGUAAGCGUCGUGGGCUUCCCUGUCAUGUUGACAAAAGGGCCCUAAUUCUUAGUUUUAGCAUUGCAGCCACUGUGUGGCAACAUUCAGUACAGUGUUUUAGAGAACACUGACGUAUUUAAUCAACCUCUAUCUCCACGCUGUGCUAUUAUUGCUGGAGGUUGAGCGCGAAAGACUGAUUCAAUAAUGGCUCUCGUCGAGUGGGAAGGCUUAAUAGCUGUUAUGCUGUGGUGUUUAGUUUUUACCCCGCUGUACUCCCACAAUGUUUGUGUAUUUUUGUUUACGAUAUAUUUUAACGAAACCUUAUGAAUUAAGUAUUAAACAACACCGAUCAAUCAUAAGA